UACGUAGGUGGCAAGCGUUGUCCGGAUUUACUGGGCGUAAAGCGUGCGCAGGCGGUCUUUUAAGUCAGAUGUGAAAUCCCCGGGCUUAACCUGGGAACUGCGUUUGAAACUGGAAGGCUAGAGUGUGGCAGAGGGGGGUGGAAUUCCACGUGUAGCAGUGAAAUGCGUAGAUAUGUGGAGGAACACCGAUGGCGAAGGCAGCCCCCUGGGCUAACACUGACGCUCAUGCACGAAAGCGUGGGGAGCAAACAGG
rnacentral:rRNA from 1 species